AUAAACGCGGCCCGCAAACCUUCCGCUACGCCCCCGGUCCAGAUCGAGAAGGCGCCGCCGGCGCACCGCCUAGUCGUGGGCGUCCCCUGCCGCCGCGUCCCGUCCGCCCUCACCAACUCCUCCACAUCCCUCCCGUCCGCGCGGUAAGCAAUGGUGCGCUUCUCCCCCCGAAGAGCCAUGGAGCACUACGGCAUUGAUGGGUCCCCGCUGACGAUGGCGGCGGUGAUGGCGCGCCCCGUGCCCGCGUUGCUCUCCGCGGCGCUCCCAUUCGCCCACAUCGGCCGCGCCUUCGACAUGACGCCUGGACGCCUUCCUGCCCCGGGUCCCGGUCGCGCGGGCUGACAUGGCGCCCCCGCUGGUGCGGCGGCACGGGAAGGACGCGAGAGAGGCGGCGAGGAGUGGGUGCUGAUCAGCGAGGUCGCGGUGCGGGGCAAGGAUGGGGAGCCCCUAGAGGUGCCCGAGCUGGAGGCCGCCGCUGCCACGGCGCUGCGCGCGUGCCACCCUAAUGCCGCGCUCACCAUCCAGGAGGUGCAGGAGCGGGGUCUAACUGGACUGGUAGGUCAUCAGCAAUCUGAAUUCAUGUUUCUCUAUCUCGUUUAUUUCUACUUAUAGUUUUAUUGUAUUUGGUGGUGUAUCAUGAUAUGUUUAAUAUGAUAAAUUCUCUGUGAUGUGUUGACCAUCCAGUAGCUACAACUGUAGCAAUUGAGUUUGUCAUGCUCCUUCUCUAAUCUAACCCAGUAAUGAUUGUAUAUAUCUCACCAAUGCUAAAUAUGCGUCGGACUCAACAUACAACAAAGGAUUCAUUUGUUGUUAAUUGCAUCUAGAAAUAAGAACCCUCAAUGCUACAUUGCUAAAUGAUAAAUCACAGAGAGCCAUUGAUUUGGAUUCUGGUUUCAUACACUGAGAUACUUUCUGGAGGAAUUCUGAGGCUACAAGUUUAAGAAGCUGAGGUUAAUAAUAUUAAUAUCCGCUUUAUAGGUAGGAAAACGUAAGGACAAAUCUUUACUCCGAUAUUUUUGUGAUCAAUUAUUGUUUCAAACCAUGAGAGUUUCUAUUUUUCUAUGGUUUCCACCCUUCUCUUUCCUUUCUGUGUUGUCAUAGUGGUGAUCGAACCAACUGUUGGAAAGACAGCUAGAGCCUAGAGACCAUCCUUCGACAACUUGCCACCAAGAAAGGGCAGGUCAGAGUUCCAAAAGUUAUCUUUCUCAAUUGAUUUAUUUAUGUUUCAUGCUCGUAUAUCUUUCACAGGGUAACCUUCUUCCGCUACACUUGUUGAGAUAGCUGAUGUCAUCUAAGUUGGUAGCCGUACUGUUGCAUUGUGUAUUAUCACUUGCAUUGCAUAAUCUUACUUAAAGACUGCACCGCCUUUAAUAACACCUAGAUAGAUGCCGUGCUGAAUUUUUGUGUUGUAGUGUUGAUCUGUUAAGUAGAUCCUGUAGUGUUGUAGGUAAUACAGAAAUUUGCUAAAUUAGCAAGCACUUGAAUUGUUCUACUCUUAUAUUAGUAUCAUACUGCUCUUGUUGGCUUUACUUUGUGCCAGUGUUUGUUGAUUUUGAAAAGUCAGUUCAGUUAACACAUAUCCGUUUGUGAUCUCAAUAUGCCAACUAUUGCUUUUUUCCCCUGCUUUUCCUUUAGUUUCUAUUUCCUUCUAUACAAUUGGGAUUGUGAGAUGGAUGACCUCCCUUUUGCUUUUGCGAUUGUGGAUUUUGGAACUUGGAUUCAGUAGUGGUAGCAAUUUGUACCUGCAUUGUUGUUUGUCACAAAUGAUAACUGCUCAGUAGGAUUACCUCUAUUAUGCAUGUAGACUCACUGUAGGCUAUGAUUUUGCAGUACAUAGCCAGAACUUGGUUCGUAACAGUAGUGAUUUGGCAUUGCAUCCGUACUUAGAUAAUAUACUUAUCGCAGUAAAAUCUGUGGUUAGGUUAAAUUGGAGCGUAAUUUGGGUUAUGAUAAUUGUUUUACCUCAUUUUCACUCCUGAUUUAAUGUAUAAUGUAGUUCUGUCGUGCUGCUGUCUCUAGCGACUUCAUUCGCGAGUUCGGCCAUCGUAUCACCCGAUCUAUAUUGGAAGUCAGAGACUAACAUGUUCAGUGAUUGGACCAUGGCUUGGGAGGGCAUGCCGAAAAUGAUGCUGGAUGUGAUACGAGCGUGAGGGAAAAAUCAUCUUGAUCUUGAUCUUUUCAGAGUUGAGGACAAUCGGCCUUCAGCGAGGUGAGAUACUGAUCAAUUUAAUGUACCAGGUGACCAAAUCUGAGAAUGCAUGUUCGUACUAUUUUAUAUUCGACCAUUGCACAAUCAGAAAUAGUGUUAACUUCUUCACGUGCCACAAUACUGCUGUAACAGACAUUCACAUGUAUUUGACUAUCUAAUACAUGUGCCCUCCCUCGUGUCAAGUGGCCCUAAUUUCUACAAGAAAAACAACCAGUAUGUAUAUUAAUUGACCUUCAAACAUCAUUAUGUUUCGAUGAUAUGUGUGUUAUUGUGAAACUAUUGUUUAUCAAAUACUGCACUUGUUUCUCUGAAGGAUGCUUUGGAUUGAAAACAUUUAUACUACUGAUGUACUGCUUCUUAAUGCUAUUGCUCAGGUAGGAGACUUAAAAAAGCAAUACAAAAAGAAUGAAAAACCGAAGUCCAGAAACUUAUGCACAGCAAGGUUAGUACGUGAUGUUCUAUGCAUCCAUAUAAAAUUGCAGGUUUCCACAAAUCAAGGUCAGUUGUCUUUUAUCAAGUUGUGCAGUUCAGAACUCUGCUAUCUUUUGACACGUUGUGCAGUUCACAGCUCAAACAGUAAUUCCCUGUAGGCAUCGAUUUAAGUGAUGGUGGUGAUAUACUAAUUUAUCAUGCAUACAUAUGGAGGCUUCAGAGGAGUGGUCACAUGACAGAAUAUUUAGAAAUGUUUUCAUUAUAGUAUAUGAGAUACUAAUUUGUCAAGCAUAUGGGCUUAAAAGAGUAGUGGUUACAUGACUGAAUAUUCAGAACAAUUCCCAUUACAGUUUUUAUUCAGAUCAACUGAAUUUUCUAAAGAAACUACAGCUAUUGUCAUGUAUGAUAUUUAAUUGAUGAUGGCGAUGUACUAAUGUUUCA